CUUUGAAGUUAGCGGCGGACGGGUGAGUAACACGUGGGUAACCUACCUAUAAGACUGGAAUAACUUCGGGAAACCGGAGCUAAUGCCGGAUAACAUUUGGAACCGCAUGGUUCUAAAGUAAAAGAUGGUUUUGCUAUCACUUAUAGAUGGACCCGCGCCGUAUUAGCUAGUUGGUAAGGUAACGGCUUACCAAGGCAACGAUACGUAGCCGACCUGAGAGGGUGAUCGGCCACACUGGAACUGAGACACGGUCCAGACUCCUACGGGAGGCAGCAGUAGGGAAUCUUCCGCAAUGGACGAAAGUCUGACGGAGCAACGCCGCGUGAGUGAUGAAGGUUUUCGGAUCGUAAAACUCUGUUAUUAGGGAAGAACAAAUGUGUAAGUAACUGUGCACAUCUUGACGGUACCUAAUCAGAAAGCCACGGCUAACUACGUGCCAGCAGCCGCGGUAAUACGUAGGUGGCAAGCGUUAUCCGGAAUUAUUGGGCGUAAAGCGCGCGUAGGCGGUUUCUUAAGUCUGAUGUGAAAGCCCACGGCUCAACCGUGGAGGGUCAUUGGAAACUGGGAAACUUGAGUACAGAAGAGGAAAGUGGAAUUCCAUGUGUAGCGGUGAAAUGCGCAGAGAUAUGGAGGAACACCAGUGGCGAAGGCGACUUUCUGGUCUGUAACUGACGCUGAUGUGCGAAAGCGUGGGGAUCAAACAGGAUUAGAUACCCUGGUAGUCCACGCCGUAAACGAUGAGUGCUAAGUGUUAGGGGGUUUCCGCCCCUUAGUGCUGCAGCUAACGCAUUAAGCACUCC
rnacentral:rRNA from 1 species